GACGAACGCUGGCGGCGUGCUUAACACAUGCAAGUCGAACGGAAAGGCCCCUUUGGGGGUGCUCGAGUGGCGAACGGGUGGGUAACACGCGAGUAACCUGCCCUUGACUUCGGGUUAACUUCAUGAAACUGGGGCGAAUACCGGACAGGAAUCCUUGCUGCAUGGUGGGGGUGGGAAAGCUUGGGCGGUUUUGGAUGGACUGGCGGCUUAUCAGCUUGUUGGUGGGGUAGUGGCUUACCAAGGCUUUGACGGGUAGGCGGCCGGGGAGGGCGAACGGCCAAAAUGGGGCUGAGGAAAGGCCCCAGCUCCUAAGGGAGGCAGGAGGGGGGAAUUAUGGCCCAGGGGGGGAAGGCCGAUGGAGCAACCCCGGGGGCGGGAAGGCCGGCUUCGGGUUGUAAACCGGUUUCAGCAUGGGAGAAGGUUGUGGUGACGGUACCUGGAGAAGAAGCACCGGCUAACUACGUG
rnacentral:rRNA from 1 species